AUUAAAGAAGCGAAUCUGUUAUAAAAAUAAAAAUAAAAAUGAUCACCUACAUAAGUUUACAUAAAUAAUUAUACAUGGUAAGUAAAACAUAUACCAUCAAUAUUUUUUUGAAAGGUAUACAACGUCAAUCUUAUUAUUAUUACUAUUUUGCAUAUUUAUAGUGUAUGCUUUAUUUUAUAUUUUAUUUUUACAACUAAUAAUGCUUUGGCCUUCUCUCUGACCUAUUCCCUUUCCCUUCCCAUUUCGUUGCUUUCUCUCUCUUCUUCUUUUCUAUCUUUUCAUGCUCUGUUGCUUCAUUUGCCAAAGCUUUUUCCUUCUGCUUUGCUUGCUUUGCCAAAUUUAUUUCCUUCUGGUGUAAUUUUAUUUCCUUCUUCUUUGCUUCCCUUUCCUUCAUCUUUGCUUCCCUUUCCUUCAUCUUUGCUUUCAAUGCCAUAAUCCUUUCUUCCCUUGUUAAAUUUCCCGCACCAACGGGCUUAUUUUGAUCAAAAGAUUCUAUAUCUAUGGGUUUUCGCCCACCAUCAAGCUUAUCUACCAAAACAUUUUUCUUUGACUCUUUUGUAUAUUGUUUACCUUCUUUUAAUGUCUCUGUUGCCACAACAGAUAAAAGAAACAACACAAAGGAAACAUAAAUUAAAAGCUUUGAUUUUCAUCACUACAAUUUCUAAGAAUUUAAUUGUUGUGAAACAUAUGAAUAUACUCGGCAAGAUAAAUAGAUAUGAAAAUCAAAAGUAGAUUUAUUAAAUAAUAUAUUAUUUAAUUGGCUUUCGAGAAUAUUGAGCCAUUGAAGGGUUAUUGAGGUAGGUAAAGUGUUUAAACUUUGAC
rnacentral:lncRNA from 1 species